rnacentral:lncRNA from 1 species
UCCCCCAGUGAACAGUGCUGCGUAGCCGGCGAGGCAACCGGUCCCUGGCAGUUGAGACCGGUCCCCGAGCGCGUCUGCGCGGGGAGAGACCGGUCCCGCGCAGGGAGAGACCGGUUCCCGAACGUUGGAUUUUCGGGGGCAGGCUGAGAGACCGGUCCCAGGUCGGGGAGACCGGUCCCUCUUGGCGAAAACUGCCCAGACCGGGCUGAUGGGAUUUUGGAUUUUUGAGGGGCUUAUCUGGAUUUUAUUACUUUAGAGCCUAUAGAGAGCCCUCAUUCUCUCUCUUUCCCUCAUUUCUCUCAACCCUUGGCAUUUUAGAGAGAGAAGAAGAGAGGGAGAAGAAGAAGAAGAAGAAGAAGAGGAGAAGGAGCUUGCUUAGAGGCUUUGGAGCAUCAUCUUCUUCCCAUUUCCUCACCUUGGUGGCUUCGAGCUUGCGGUUGGAGCUUUGUGGAGGAUCAAACUUCAACCCUACUUGGUUUUGAGCUUGGAUUGGAGCUUCUCUUGAGGUUGGUAGCUUGUAAUCCCCUUUUGAUACAUGUUUUCCUAGGUUUUACUAGAUGAAACCCUAGAUUUUGGGAUUUUGGGUUUGUUUUGGGGGGUUUUUGGAUUUGAGGGUUUUGAGACCUAAUUGAUGGGUUUAGAACCUUUGUUUAGAUUAGAUUGGAAGGACUCUAACUCCCAUUUGGAGAUCGUGAGAGCCUCUUCCGCAAUCGGUAAGUUUUCUCCAACCCUAGCUUGAGAAGCUUAAUGAUUGAGCUAUUUGCUCUUCGUUUCGUUUGGGUGACUCUAUUUUUGAUGUUUCUAGGGUAUUAGGAAGCUUGUGGAUACCUUCGUUCGGCGAAACGAAGAAGUCGAUUUUGGUGGGUUUGACUUCAUGAAAAUAGGGGAAAAUGGUCCCUAUACCUUCUAAACUUUUCGUAAAGUAUUUUUGAAUGCAAAUUCAUGCUAAAUAUGAUUUAUAUGAAUUUUAGAACACUUAACAUGCAUGCCCCAUACAUCGUAAAAUUUGUACUCCAUAUAGUAGAGCUAUAUGUGUAGAUUGCACGCAUUAUGGAUAGGGCUUGGUUUUGCAAGUUGAGAACAUAUCUCUAUGCUAGAAUUGAGUGAAUUAUGCAUCAUGAACAUAUUAAUUCCAUGCUUGGAACUCGUUGAACAAAAGUGUCAUAAAGGGGCACUUGGAAUUAGUAAACUAUGAAAAUGCAACUUAGAGACAUAUUGAUAGGCCACUGCAUAUCUGCUAUAUUCCAUGUUAGAGACAUGAUGACAUAGAGAUAGGCCACUGAGAUACUUGAUCUAUAUUCCAUGUUGUUAGACAUAAGGACUUGGUACUUGAGACAGAUCAUUGCUUGCUUGCCAUUGUGCUCAUUCGCACAUGCUUGUGAGGGUCGCUCCCUACAAGCCGGCACUCCGGAGAUAGCCAUCGCGACAUAUGCUCGCCCGUGCGGGAUUGGGCGUCGAAGUGGAUUGCCAUGGGGGAGGCUCAUUCCUAGAGUGGGGAUGUUGACUACCACGGGGCCAUUAGGCACGGCGCAGGUCAGACAGCCUUCGGGUGGGUCUUAUAUGAUUGGGACUUAGUGACAGAACGUGCUAUGUGAACUUUAAAACUAUUAAAGUGGACUUGAACUAGAAUAGUAAACAAAGACAUCUUUACUAUUUUGAAUUGAGAACAUUGGAUUGGUUGCAUUCCUACGUUUAUGCAUGUCAUACACACCCAUGUACAUUCAUGAUAUAGUUGCUUUAUUACUUAUGCUAGUUAUGCUAAGUAGAGAUAUCAGGUUGUAGUAAGUGCAUUUUUACUUACCUUUCGUUUUUCUACUUUUAUAGUCACUGACAUCUCUUGUAGCUUUGGGCCUUGUGGUGUACUCACUGAAGUCAGUAAUUGCCCACUGGAAACUAUUUUUAGUAGUUCUCACGUCCCUGUUUUAUAGUUUACUUUUCAGAGCCUUCGGCACCGGCAGAGGCACGGGAUCGCGGCAAGGGGAUCGCAUAGCUAGUUAGCGAGGAGCGGUUCUUUGCCUUUGUGGUUUACUCUCUCCUUUGUAGUAGAGAGAGAGAGUGAGAGGUUUUUGUAUCAUAUAUAGAGACCACCUAUGUAUCUACCUAUAGCACUUGUAUUUGGGAUUUCCUAUUGUACUUACCUUAUGUCUUAUUUAGUGGAUUUACAGUUUUACCCUUAUCCUUUGUUGUAGCAUUUAGACAUUUAUUAUGCUCUGAUACUCCUAGAUGUCUUUUAUUAUUGCUUUUAUUAUUGUUGUUUUUAGACGCCUUAUAUGUUUUAGACGUAUGGCGGGUCUGGGCACGCGCCGGGCGGGCUUCCGCUGGGUCCCGGGGCGUGACAGAUGGUCAAUGUCAUGCCCACUUCGUUCUUCAAAAAGCUGGGCAAGGACGAAGAUGAGUUGAAGCCCACUGACACAAUUAUGACCGACUUCACCGGUAGCGGUCAACAAGCUCGAGGGGUGCUUACGACCGAGAUUACGGUAGGUUCUAAAACUUUACGAACUGCAUUUUUUGUAGUGGAUGCAGAUAGCCACUACAACCUACUACUCGGACGCGAUUGGAUACACGCAAACGAAUGCGUGCCUUCUACACUCCACGGAAAAUUAUUCCAGUGGAUAGGAGAUUAAGUUGAAGAAAUCCGGGCCGAAGGACGGCCCCAAAUGGUGGAUGUCAACGCAAAAGAGGUUGACCACAUCAAUUGGGCCGACGCUGAUCCAGACCAAAUCUCUUUUGUAAGAGUUACGGAGGAGGGGAUUCAGUUAAUCCUCUCUAAAGACAAAGAAGCUAUGGUGGUAGCCGAAGAGCCACCAAGUUGACUAAAAUGGAAUGUGAAGAAUCAAGAACCGAAGCUUUAGAGAAGCUUCGGCAAGAAGAGCUGAUCGACAGGAUCGGCUGUGUGAUAAAUUCGGCCCAGCAGGCCGAUGAUGCGGUGUACAACAAGAAGGCCGAAAAGGCCGAUAAUGAACAUGUAGUAAAAUCGGUUGUUAAAGCCAAUAUGAAAAAUAUGGGGAACUCGGCUGUUCAAGCCGAAUGUGAUACACCAGAUGAAGUGAUUAGGCGAACAACUAACUUGAAUUUAGAAUAAUCGCCUAUCAAAGUCGGUAAAAAGAAAUUGAAAACUCAGGAUCCAUUAAUUGAAGUAAACUUAGGAUCCGAUGGAGACAAGAAGCCGACUUAUAUUAGUGCCAAGCUUUCGAUUCAACAAUAAGAGGAGCUGAAAGAAUUGCUAAAUGAGUAAAAAGACUGCUUUGCCUGGAGCUAUGAAGAAAUGACAGGACUAAGCCGAGAAAUUGUAGAGUAUAGACUACCUAUUAAAAAAGGAUAUAAGCCUUACAAACAGCCGGCUCGUAGGUUUGAGUCAAAUAUUGUACUCCAAAUCAAAAAUGAAAUAGAAAAUCUUUUAAAGGCCGGUUUUAUAAGAGCGGCCCGUUAUGUUGAUUGGGUAUCCAAUAUAGUUCCAGUGCGAAAAAAGAAUGACAAACUUAGAGUUUGCAUUGGAUUUAGGAACUUAAAUUUGACAACACCUAAGGAUGAAUAUCCAAUGCCAAUAGCCAAUAUAUUAGUAGAUUCGGCUGCCGGUAAUGAAAUCCUGUCUUUUAUGGACGGACAUGCUGGUUAUAAUCAAAUUUUCAUUGUCGAAGAAAACAUAGCUAAAACGGCCUUUAGAUGCCCAGGGUCUAUUAGAACCUUUGAAUGGGUAGUCAUGCCGUUCGGUUUAAAAAAUGCCAGAGCUACUUAUCAAAGAGCAAUGAAUUUUAUUUUCCAUGAUUUAAUCGGCAAAAUGUUGGAGAUUUACAUUGAUGAUAUAGUUGUGAAAUCCAAAUCACAAGCCGAACAUUGGGUAGAUUUAAAGCUCGCCUUUGAAAGAAUGAGAAAAUUUAAUUUGAAGAUGAAUCCUUUGAAGUGUGCUUUUGGAGUCUCAGCAGGAAAUUUUCUGGGAUUUUUGGUACAUAAGAAGGGGAUUGAAAUCGAUAAAAACAAGGCGAAAGGUAUAUCAGAAUUGUCGCUACCAAAAAGCAAAAAAGAGUUGCAAAACUUGUUGGGAAAAAUCAAUUACUUGCGGUGAUUUAUAUCGAAUCUGGCCGGUAGAAUAGGGGUUUUCACUCCAUUAUUUCGGCUUAAAAGUAAAGAAGAAUUUAUUUGGACAGAAGAACAAUAAGGAGCAUUUAUAAAGAAAUAUUUAACAAAUCCUCAAGUUCUUAUACCUCCUAAACAAGGACAGCCGAUGAAGUUAUACAUUUUGGCUGUGGAAGAAAAUUUAGGAUGUUUGUUGGCCCAAGAAAAUGAAGAAAAAGAAGAACAUGCCAUUUAUUAUUUAAGCCGACGAUUAUUAGAUACUGAAAAACGAUAUUCGGCUAUUGAAAAAUUAUGUUUGGCUUUAUAUUACUCUUGUACAAAAUUAAGAUAUUAUAUUUUACCAACCGAAGUAUCGGUAAUAUGUAAAACCAAUCUGGUAAAAUAUAUGUUAUCUAAGCCAGUUUUGAGAGGAAGAAUCGGAAAGUGGAUGUUAGCCUUAUCUGAAUUUUCCCUCAAUUAUGUUCCGACAAAAGCUGUUAAAGGACAAGCGAUAGUCGAUUUUCUGGCUGAUCAUCCAUGUGACGAAAUCGAGGAGCCGAAACAAAAUUUAGUCGGCUGUCAACCUUGGAUCCUUUACUUUGACGGCUCAAGAACAGCCGAGUCCGCAGGAGCUGGAAUAGUUAUACACUCUCCUGAUGGAUAUUCAUGUCAAUUUGUCACGCCCCGGGGUCCCCUUUUAGUUUGAAACACAGCGGAAAAGCGUUUAAAUUUUUUCUUUUAGUUUGAAACACAGCGGAAAAGCGUUUAAAUUUUUUUUUUUGAAAACCUGACCCCAGAGUAUGCCAGAUCCGCCACAAAUACAGGGAAUCCACUGUUCACACGGACAGAGUCUCCCCUGUAUUUACACGGGGUCACACAAGUACAAAAGUACAAACAGUAUACAACCACAACUAAAUGAAUAUACAGAUAGCUAUACAUUCAUACAUUCACCAUUCACACCGUAGUUUUACAUUCGAUGUUUAAACAAAAGUCCACGAAAAAUCUUUUGAAAACUGUUCCAUACGCGAAAACUUUUAUCUUUUAUAAAAGCUACCACGAGGGGUAGAAAACCUUUUAUUUUACCAAAUCCAGAAAUCCUUUUAUUACAUUCAUGAAAGUCCACAUAUUCCAAUGUAAUAAAAAUACUGAACCAUAUAAACUGACUAAGCUAUAACAACAGAAUAGUAGGGAUAAAACUAAACCGAUAACCUGGGUCGGAAGCUCUAUCGACCGCUACGAACGUACCUCACGUCUCGUCCCAAAACUCAACGCCUGCAAUACCUGAAAAAUAGUGGGGGAGGUGAGAACAUGUAAACAUGUCUCCCCUCCCAGUGGGUACCGCAAGCCGAUGAAGGCGAGGAGUACUCACCGGAUCAGGAAGAGCUAAACAACAGUACGGGUCAGUAGAAAAUACAGUAGCAAUAAUAAUGAAUGAAAGAGACAUAUAUAUGAAAGAAAGUACAACUACCGCUACUGUAAUGAACAACUGAAUGUAUACAUGUAACAAGACUAUAGUAGCAAGACAAUGUAACGAAAGAACUGAAGAUAUACAAGUGACCACUGCUACUAUAGUUAUAUGCGUCAACCGGACAAGUAGUCCAAAAGUACCCAAUCUAAACCGCCGUGUCGGUCUAAGGACCUCAGGCAAAAGCCACUACCUGCUCGCACCUGGCAUGUAACCCUAGCACAAAGAGAACACCGCUGGGCUCACGGGUCGGAUGUACGACCACUUUUCCGGAAAAGAACACCCUCCUGCGGGGGAUCAACCCGCUGGUGUACGUGAAAUGCACUCGAGCUGUGGCGAUCAAUGCGGAUAUGAUCAAUAGCCAAAUGUCGGCAACCAGCCGACAAUCACCGCCCCUCGGGGCAAACCGACCAAUAGGUCAUCAAACUAUAUAGAAGCACAAGAACCGACUACUCAGGUCAACUAAGAGGGAACCACUCAACAUCCUACCGAAGGUAUACAAGCACUGACUACUAAUGUCAACUAACAUAUAUGCACGACGAACCGACGAAUAGGUCACCAGAGUAUAUCAAUAGAAUCCCGAAUUACCGUCGGCCACUAGCCGACAAUCCAACCCCUCAGGGUACACCGACCUCAUAGGUCAUCAAACGACAGGACUCACGAAGCUGACUGACUAGGUCACAAAUAUGCCAAAUAGUGGAACUGUGUAAACUAUAAUCAUCCGUCGGUGCUAACCGACAAUCCCACCCCUUAGGGUAUACCGACCUCAAGGGUCAUCGAACGAUGUACGAGAACCGACCAAUCAGGUCACCGAAACGAAGUACCAGAACCGACCAACCAGGUCAACAGAUACAGAAUGCAACAACCAACCAACUAGAUCAACAGAUACGGAAUGCAACAACCAACCAAUUAAGUCAACAGAUACGCAUAUAGAUAGAACUGCUCUACUCCUACUCGGGAUACUAAGCAUGCAAACAACGAGUAGUGUAUAACGAAUAAACAAGGGUGCAAGGCUCAAUAUACUAUGCGAUAGUAACAACAGAAGAGUAAGGGUAAGAAACCAUCACCGAGCGUGCACCACUGUACCGACGUCGGAUCGAAGUACCCACCUGUACAAAUGCUGCGCCUGUCUCCUGACUGCAAAAGGACGUCAACCGGACCUAAGGAAGGUCCACCGGGUUAGUGUCUAACCCACAGCUAAUAACCACUAAAUCCACAACCUACAAGCAAACCCAUGGAGAUCGGUUUCCCAAACCGAUCGCCGUAAUACGCCGGAAGUCCCGUAAUCGCACGGGGACUCCGCCGGGAGCCACGAACUGUCCCGGAACAUACCGACUCGAGCUACGAGUCACCUGCUGCCACUAAACAUAAAUAAUCGUGCAUCAUGGCAGCGAACACAACUCCUCGUGUCGAAACAAUUAUCGUCGGAUAAUCGUUUCGAUUCGGGUUCCCGGAAGUGUCUAAUUCGACACCGGAACCCACCGUCGCUCACCCGUCAUUUCCGAACUCUCGAAAUGACGCAAGUGACCAGCCAACAAGGCUCAGCGACUACACAAAAGCUCACGAAGCACCGUCGGAAUAAUUCCGAACCGAACCCGCGUUCCGUCGGCGGAUUUCGCCGAAAAACGCACCGGAAAUGCAUUUCCGAUCUUCGCAAGGGUCUGGGGCCUUGGACAAUCAGUCCAGAGGUUAUCCUCAACCAACACUUGCUGCCAACAGCAGCUACGACGAACCAAAAUGCAUAAAAGCCCUCCUGAAUACCUGAAAUCGCAUUAUUUCAUGCGAUUUCGGCGCUUUUACGGUCCAACUACGCAAACCAGAGGUCAAACUGCCGAGCCAAGAUACCCACUGAUAGGUUUCGAUGUGCCGGAGGCCGUGCUCACCUUUCGGAGCACUGCCAACCCUUGUGGCAAACGCACACCCGACGCGAACCUCAGCGAAACAGCGCGCACAGCGCUUACAUUGCGUCAAAUUCGCAAACCAGGGCAUCGUUGACCCCAACGGAGGUGAGCACGACGUUCGGCAUGAAACGAGGAUGAUCGUGCUCACUUCCACAUUCACCGGGGUGCCUUCGGAUCGCCUGAAGGGUGACCGGAACCCUAAAACUGAGUGCUGUAACUAAAGUUUCAGCUUACCAGAUCCGAGAGAGCUAGGGUUGGCCGGCAGCUGCCGGAAGGUGGGCGCUCCGGCCGGGGACGAGCGUGGAAGGUCGGAGGGGUCCCGGGCAGGCGCUGCCCGGCGGCGGAAGGCGGCCGGUGGCGCGGCGGCACAGAUCAACCCGAGACUUGCUCUCGGGUUCAUGGGUUCCGCGGCGGUCCGGCGGCGGCCGGAGGAGCUCCGGGAGGCGACGGUCUGUCGGCGGAGGUCGAGGAGGAGGAGGUGCUCCCGACGGUGGGCGGCGGCGGCCCUCGAAGGCCGUACUGGUCCAAGCAGGGCCCGCACGCGCUCGGGACGGCCGCAGAGAGCUCGGGCGGCGGCCGGCGGCGUGCGGGGACGGCGGGGAGGCGCGCGCGAGGUCGCCGGAGGUCGCCAGAGGGCGGCGCGGCCGAUAGGGAGCGGUGGCGGCGCGCGGAUGCAAAGAUGACCCAAGCUCGGCCUGGGUGCAUGCAGGUGGCCGCAGAGAGCUGGGGCGGCUCCGGCGGCGUGCGCUGACGGUGGGGCCGGCGGCGGAGGUCGCCGGGGCUCCGAGGAAGGGUGUCUCGGCCGUCCCAAGGUGGCGGCGGCAGUGCUAGCAGGGAGCUAAAGCUCCUGGGCCAGAUCUGCCAAGAUCUGGCCGCAGCCUGUCUGGGCGGCGGCGGCGGUGCGCAGGGACGACGGCGGCGACGAGGGGAGUCGCCGAAGGCUGGGCCACGGCCAGGGGACAACGGUGCUCGAGCUAGGUGGCUACCAGGGUCCGCAAACCACAAUGCGGUGAAGGGGUUGGCCAAAAGGGAGAGAAAGAGAGGUGAUGCAGGGAUUUCCGGCGGCCGGAGGAGCUCGCCGGCGGCCGGAGCAUGCGCACGGGGAGGGCAGGAGAUGGCUGAGGCGGCUGGUGGACUAGGGCUAGCAGGAACGACCUAGGGUUAGGGUUUCCAAGCAAAAAAAUCUAACAUCAACCUAUAAAUGUAAGUGUAAAUUUGCCGAAAAGUCCUCCAAGACUCAACCAUUUAAUCUUAGUCCCUCACCGCACGAAUAAAACGUGCAUAAACCCCUCCACGUGCGAUUUCACGCGAAACGGUACAUAAAAUGUCGCAACUUUUGCGAAAUUACCGUUUUGCCAUCACCGACCUCUCCUCGAUCAACGCGCGAUCUCCGCAGAUCCGUCCGUCAGAUUUGCGAACGGAUUGCACCAGUGCGAUCAGCACCUCGGAGACAACAAAGCUACACUUUCGAUUCAUCUCGAUCGACCACGGAUUCACAACAAAAUCCAACCUUCUUCCAAUAGAAGGAAACACACACACAAAUACAUAUAAAACAUGUAUUUUUGGAUUUUCUCGAAAUCUGUGCGUCAAACUCAAAAUCCAUCAGCGCCACUAGUUCCAGAAUAGCUGAACCGGUCGAAACGAGCUAUUGGACUGAUAUGAACGGAGUCCGAUACGCACCAGAAGCCAACUCUACUCCGUGGCUUCUCCGGAAAACCGAAGUUACUAUUCACUUAAGUGAAAACUAAAAAUCGCGUAUCUUCUCCAUUUUAGCUCAGUUUCUCCUGAAACUUGACGAGUGCUUAUGUAAUUAAAUUACACACAUAAACAUCAUCAACAGAAAGUUUAGUUGCACUGUCAAAAAUCUCAGUCCUUACACAAUUUGCUUUUGAGCUAGAUUUCGGCUGCUCUAAUAAUCAAGCCGAAUAUGAGGCCUUAAUAAUUGGCCUCGAGAUUUUACAAAAUUUACGAGUUAAGUCAAUCAAGGUUAUCGGUGAUUCACAGUUAGUAAUUAAAUAAGUGAAUGGAGAAUACCGAUGCGAAAAUCGAAAUUUGCAAAAUUAUUUAAGAAAAACAAUAGAAUUGUUUUGCAGUUUCAGAGAAGUUCAAUUUAAGCAUUUGACCAGAGAGAAAAAUGAACAAGCAAAUGAAUUAGCCCAAUCGGCUUCAGGGUAUAUGUAGCGCACUGGACCUUUGCAAAUUUCGAGGUUCGAGUAUUCGAUUUGUAUUCCAAACUUUUCCACACUUGGUGGAGGGCCGUCGAUGGUAUACCGACCUAAAAGUUCGAUCUCGAGAGUUUUGGCAGAGUCCUGAGAGUUUUUACUCUCGGGGACCGGUCCCUGAUAAGAGAGACCGGUCCCCCAGUGAACAGUGCUGCGCAGCCGGCGAGGCAACCGGUCCCUGGCAGUCGAGACCGGUCCACGAGCGCGUCUGCGCGGGGAGAGACCGGUCCCGCGCAGGGAGAGACCGGUUCUCGAACGUUGAAUUUUCGGGGGCAGGCUGAGAGACCGGUCCCAGGUCGGGGAGACCGAUCCCUCUGGGCGAAAACUGCCCAGACCGGGCUGAUGUAAAUUUGAGUUUUUGAGGGACCUAAGUGGAUUUUGUUGCUUUUAAUGGCCUAUUUGGCCAUUUCACCCUCUUCUCUCCUCAUUUCUUCCCUUCCCACCUAUUCUAGAGAGAGAAGAAAAGAG